rnacentral:piRNA from 1 species
UCCACCUAUAGAGUUGCAGAACCCUU